AACAGUGAAGGCAUUCGUCGAGUCAGCUGUCUAACUGAUCCUGUAAAGAAGUGUCUGGUGUGCACCAAAGCUUCAGAGCCCGGUAACAAAAACCAAAGGCUUAAUACAAGCAUAACUAUUAGUUAUUCUAAGCCUUCAGGAAGAUGCACCAUUCUAAUAGGUGCUGGAAAGUUUUUCUACCACAGUGCUCUUCAAUGGUUUCCAACAUAUGGGUUAGUUUUUGCUCAUUCUUGAAAUUUUAUAUAUAAUACAUAUAGAUAUGGGAAACUCCAUGUUGAUCACAGUGAAUUCUGAUCAUUGAAGGGAGAAAUUCUAGCCUUUGUGGUAAUCUUAGAAAUUGGAUGUACUUGUCGAAAUUUUUUUGGUAACUCCAAGAUGGAAUGUGAUCUAAAUGUGUUAAUAUCGUACUAUUUCUUUUGCUCCAAUGGCUAGGCUAUAACAUGGGGAUAGUCCUCUUUCUAUCCCAGUCUUUGUGGUAAU